rnacentral:rRNA from 1 species
AUUGAACGCUGGCGGCAUGCUUUACACAUGCAAGUCGAACGGUAACAGGCCGCAAGGUGCUGACGAGUGGCGAACGGGUGAGUAAUGCAUCGGAACGUGCCCAGUCGUGGGGGAUAACGCAGCGAAAGCUGCGCUAAUACCGCAUACGAUCUAUGGAUGAAAGCGGGGGACCGUAAGGCCUCGCGCGAUUGGAGCGGCCGAUGGCAGAUUAGGUAGUUGGUGGGGUAAAGGCUCACCAAGCCAACGAGCUGUAGCUGGUCUCAGAGGACGACCAGACACACUGGGGCUGAGACGCGGCCGAGACUCCUACGGGGGGCAGCAGUGGGGAAUUUUGGACAAUGGGCGCAAGCCUGAUCCAGCAAUGCCGCGUGCAGGAAGAAGGCCUUCGGGUUGUGAACUGCUUUUGUACGGAACGAAAAGACUCUGGUUAAUACCUGGGGUCCAUGACGGUACCGUAAGAAUAAGCACCGGCUAACUACGUGCCAGCCGCCGCGGUAA